GCGAAGCAUCUGGUUAUGGAUAGCGUCUUCUCCCGGUGAACAUGACUUGGUGUUACGGAUUGCUGCCUCCAAUUCUUCUACAGUAAAAGGUUUGGUAUCUAGAAAGGUGUUGGAAUAGUUUGACGAGCUACUGACUUUAUAGAACUGAUCUGCAAUUAUGUUAGUUAUGUCUUGCAGUUUAUUGAUAUAGCUCCGACUUUCUUCCAGACAUCAUUACUGGUAGUCUCUGGUAUUGCAGUAUUUGUUGGAAUUAGUUAAGUUUUUACAUUCAGUCAGGCAAUCAGUUAAUGUUAAUGUUAAGUUUAACCAUACGAC